rnacentral:lncRNA from 1 species
GCUCAGGUAUACCCUACGGUAUUCUAACAAAGAUACAAUGUCACAACACAUGCGACACAAUAUCAACACAAAGGGGUUCUAACGUGUACAUGUUAAACUGAAACGAAUUCAACACAAAGUCUCCAAAAAUAUACUAACAUGUACAUCACUACAAUAUCAAAAUAAAUUUAUAGUCAUGAUACACUAGUCUAAAGAGUACAAAUAGGAGUUCUAAUAUAAACGCCAAAACAAACUAUCAUAAUAAAUUGACAAGAAAUAAUUGUGAGAGGCAAUACUAAAUUUCGAAACGAAUAACGAAACGAACAAAUUAAAAACAAAAGAG